CAGCAGCCGCGGUAAGACGUAGGACGCAAGCGUUAUCCGGAUUUACUGGGCGUAAAGCGUCUGUAGGCGGUUGGGUAAGUUGGGCGUGAAAGCUCCGUGCUCAACGCGGAGAGGUCGUUCAAUACUGCCGAACUAGAGGACAUCAGAGGAGCAUGGAAUUUCCGGUGUAGCGGUAAAAUGCGCAGAUAUCGGAAGGAACACCAGUGGCGAAGGCGGUGCUCUGGGGUGUGCCUGACGCUGAGAGACGAAAGCUAGGGGAGCGAACAGGAUUAGAGACCCUGGUAGUCCUAGCCCUAAACGAUGGAUGCUAGAUGUGGGGCCGAGAAGGCUCCGUGUCGCAGUUAACGCGGUAAGCAUCCCGCCUGGGGAUUACGGCCGCAAGGCUAAAACUCAAACGAAUUGACGGGGCCCCGCACAAGCAGCGGAGCGUGUGGUUUAAUUCGAUGCUACACGAAGAACCUUACCUGGGUUUGACAUGUAAGUGGUAGUGAAGCGAAAGCGGAGCGACCCUUCGGGGAGCUUACACAGGUGCUGCAUGGCUGUCGUCAGCUCGUGCCGUGAGGUGUCGGGUUAAGUCCCGUAACGAGCGCAACCCUUGCCCUUAGUUACAAGUGUCUAAGGGGACUGCCGGCGGUAAGCCGGAGGAAGGUGGGGAUGACGUCAAGUCAGCAUGGCCCUUAUAUCCAGGGCUACACACACGCUACAAUGGUCAGUACAAAGGGCAGCGAAGCCGCGAGGUGAAGCGAAUCCCACCAAAGCUGAUCUAAGUUCGGAUUGCAGGCUGCAACUCGCCUGCAUGAAGCUGGAGUUGCUA
rnacentral:rRNA from 1 species